GUCAAAUGGAAGGGAAUGGGCUCCCUUUUCUGCUUUUCCAGCCAACCGAUGGCUGUGCAGACAAGAGAACCGUUACUUUUUUUGUAAUUCUGCCAUUUUUUUUAAAACAGUGACCAUACAUUCUACUCCAUUCUUAGGAAGUCCCAAAUGACAGGGUUUUCUAACAGCACAGCCCUGUCUGAGUCCACAUGGAAUUGAAUUAAAUAGGCCCCCGACGAGUGUAUGAUUGAACCUAAGACAUAUUGAUUUAAAAAUUUUUCAAAACAUUCCUCUUUAGAAUGACUCUCUUUUUAGAAAUAGUUUUUUGAGCUUGGAGAAUAACCCUGGAUGGAAUUCCUUCUAUUACAGAUAAUCCUUGACUUAAAGCCAUUCCUUUAGUGGCCGUCCAGAGUUACAAUGACAUUGAAAAAAAAGUGACUUAUGACUAUUACAGCAUCCCAUUGUCACAAGAUUAAAAUUUGAAUGCUUUGCAAGACGGGGCAAAACUCAAUUAACAAGUGCCCUGCUUAGCCAUGGAAAUUUUGGGCAUAAUUGUGGUUGUAAGUUGAGAAGCUACCUGUACUCUCACAUACCGUAUUUACAAAAAGAUGAAGAACCCGCUUACCCAGAGAUGGUAUUCCGCAGGUUCUGACCAGUUCUGGAGAACCGAUAGCAGAAAUUUUGAGUAGUUCGGAAAUCCAGUAAAUCCCACCUCUGACUGGAGAUUUUACAGUAUCCUUCCCCUGCCACGCCCACCAAGCCAUGCCCACAGAACUGGUAGUAAAUGUUUUUGAAUCCCACCACUGCACCCACCCGCCCCCAACCCAAAUUAUUUGUGGCAGUUCAACUUAAAAAUGUGUAUAAUAUAGUUCCAUGUUCAUAAAGUUAAUCAACAUUUAGAACUGACAGUAUGUUUGUCUGAACUUCCCCUAUAGGAAGAAGGUUGAGAGUGACUAUGAAGCACUUCAGGACAGACUCAGUACUCUGCCAGACAAACUUUCAUACGAUAUCAUGGUCCCCUUUGGUCCUCUUGCUUUCAUGCCAGGAAGACUUGUUCACACCAACGAGGUUACAGUUCUUCUUGGGGACAACUGGUUUGCAAAAUGUUCAGCAAAACAGGCCGGUGGCCUAGUAGAACACAGGAAAAAACGUGAGUAUCUUCCCAGUUUUUGAUGACAGUCAAAUAAACAGUAAAGAUCCUGAUCCUUUUCUUUUCCC
rnacentral:lncRNA from 1 species